CCGGGACCUGGUGGCUGCGUGGGGCGUCAUCUUCUGCGCCCCCUGGUGGCGACCGUUGCAAGCCCGUGAUCCGCUGGGUCCGCACCCCCCAGGGCGGGGCCGCGGCUGUCACCUCCGGCACGGUGAGGUGAGGACACCGAGCUCAGGGCGCCUGUGAAAGGGUCCCCUCUUGACCUUGCCUCAGCCUUGCCCCGGGAGCGCGGCCACACGGACAGCAGGGGCUCCCUGGCAAAGGCCCUUGGGCCGGGUCACACCCACAGGCGCGCAGAGGGGAAGGACAUGCCCGCUUGAGGGGGGCAGAAACCGGGCCCCGAAGAAGGAGCCGCAGGCUCAGAGCUGGGAUCGUGCAGGUGCUGGGGCCAUGGCGGCCGGGCACACACAAGGACACCGCGGUAGAGACGCCGUGCACACAGGGCCGCGGGCCUGGCCGUCUGGAGCCCGAGGGGAGCCGGUCACCCCUCUGCUCAGAACCCUGACAGCUCCCUAUCUACUCAGCAUAAAGGCCAGAGGCUUCCAGGAGAUUCAGUCCAUGGUCAGGAAUCAUGAAGUCAUAAUGGAAGGGCAUGGUGGAACAAAACCUGUGCAGCUGGAUGUUUGAGACCUUGAUAUGCUGAGCCCAAAUUAUGCAGCUAGUGCAGCUGAGAUGGCAGGAGUCCAUGAGCACAGGGACCCUGCUCGGACACAGGGCCGGCUAGCCAGCUUCUCCAUGCGUUAGUGCCCUCUGCUGUAAUGUGGGCACAAUAGCACCAGAGCACCUACGCAGGGUAGAACACAUGGAAACUGCUUAUGCUCUUCUUGUGUGAUGUUUGUCUCUGCAGCAGCUCUACACUCAGUACCUACCUCUUGGACACCUGCCCCCCACUAGCAGCCCUGCCUGGCAAGGUAGCAGGGGUGGCAGUGCCUGUUAGGGUCAGGGGAGCAGGAGGAGGGCCGGCUGAAACCCAGGCGCACUGGGCCAUGCUCGCCGCCAGGUAAGAACCCAUCCCACCUACCUGCCAGGGAAACUGAGGCCCUGAGUGUCAUGGCUCAGGCCAAAUGAGGCUGUCCCUCCUGCUGGUGGGUGCCCUCCAAACUGCCCACUCUGAAGUCCCCUCCCAGAGGUCCUGCAUCCCCACCCUUACUCACUGCUGCCCACUCGGGACUCAGAGUGACUCUGGGUGGCCUUCCAGGUCCCUGGGGCUCCAGGUGCUGCCCCUCGGCCCAGCCUUAAAGCAACAUCGUGACUGGACUGGCUGGCAUGUGGGUUCCGGGGCCUGUAGUGGGGUGGGGGACGGGAAGUGGCGAGAACCCUGCAGUCGACUGAGAUCCACUCCCACUUCCCCGGGAAUGGAGAUGCUUCUGAGAGCCAUUGGUGUUCAGCACAGAGGGCUCUGGAAGGCCCGAGCCCAGAUCUCCUCCCUCCCAUUUUGCAGGAAGGGAAGCUGAGCCCAAAGAGGGCAGGAAAGCCACCUGUCCAAGGGCUCUCUGUGUCCUGCGCUGACAUAAGGCUUUUUCCUCCUGGCAGGGCUCUGCUGGCGAGGGGGCCCUGGGCCUCCCGGACCCACCUCGGGCAGGCAGGUGGUCUCUGCAAUGAUGACCAACACUGACAAGGCCCCUCUGGUCCCUCCACUGAGGUCACCACACCAGCUGGAGUGACCACGCCUGCAGUGUGGGACCCGACCUCUCUGUCCCAGUUCUCCUGUGUCAAAGGCCUCAGUAUCCAAGUGACACAAGUUGAGCAUCUGGGUGAAGCCAGUGUUUGUGGACAGGGCAUUUCUGGGCCACCUUAGACUCGCCUACUUUCUGCUGUGGUUUUCAAGUUUCCUAGAAGAUAUUUUCACUCACCCUGUGAGGGAGAUGCCGGCAAUAAUGCGCAAGACAUUGAACAACGAAAGGAGACGUUGUCCCACGGAGGGAGGUCUGGACUGGACUGUGGUGCCCACCGCACACCCUUGCCAGGCUCCCUCCACUAAACUGUCAUCCUGGCUGGUGUAGCCACGCACUCAGCAGGCAGGAGCAAGAGCCCAAGUGUCAAGCCUGUCUGUGUUUAUGGUUAUUUGUAAUCCCACCAGUGUUCUUAUCCUGCUCCGGAGGGCUGGAUUAAUCAGACUGGAAACGUGAUCGGUCAUGAGCUCAGCCCUGUCCCGUCCACCCUAUAACCUGACUCCAGGCACACUGGGCUUUUCUUCUCCCCUUAGCAGUCCUGACAUCCCCUCGGGGCUGUGAAAUUUCCAUCACUUUCAUACUCCUCUUUCACCUGAUGACCCACACACCCCCAGUAGCUUCUUUCUCUUUCUGUCAAGCAGAGAUCAUUACACCUGUGUAGUUCCCUGCCACUUUGCCCCUAAAAUAGUAAAGGGGUGGGGAGGGUACACGCAGCUUCCUUUUCUCCACUGCCUGCCAAGGAGGGCACUCCUUUCCUAGAAGAAAUAUACAGCCCACCCCCUUCCUCUACAAUGCCCUGGGGACGUCUCUGACUCCACCCCACUGCGAUCAGAUGUCCACUGUUUACGCUAGACUGGGCAGAACCUGCUUUGGCCCUUCCUACAAUGUCCUAGCUAAUCAGGCUCACUCCGUGACUUUAGUCAUUAUUGCUAAGGUGAUAAGGCCUCAUCUCCAGGCUAGAAUCUCUUCCCGAACCUCAAAUCCAUGCCCCAGGAUUCCCCACACUACACAGCCCCACCCUGAGCAUCCCCCUGAGGUGCUGGCCCCCAUCUUUCCCCUUUCCCUCCCCUAAUUAAUAGCCCUGAUGCAGCCUUGGAAGUCUGCUUCACAUCCAGCGUGUCUCUUCCACACCAAGGCUUCCAUUUCUGGUCCAGGCCUCCUCCUCUUUCCCCAGGCCACCCUGACAGCCCCUCACCCAGUUCCUGGUGCUAGAGCAUUCAAUCCCAUCACACCAUCUCCCUCUGCUUAAGAUCUCUUAAUUUGUCUGCAACUCAACUUGAUUAAAGUUAUGCAAGAAUAAAGUUAGUACAUUAGACUAUCAGAUAACCAUGAAAAGGGCAGGGAUGAAGGCCAGGGUACCUUUACUCAAAUAGCACCACAAUUCUCAUGUUUUGCUGUGUGUGUGUGUGUGUGUGUGUUUACGUUUUGCUUUGCUUUGUGCUAUUAGGGAUGGAACCCAGGGCCUUGUAUAUGCUAGGCAACCACCCUAUCACCAAGCCACACUCGCAGCCUGCACUGGAAAUUUUGUUUCUCCUUUUCCCCGAUGAAUCUUCUUCACUCUCUCCUAAUUCAUACCCAUUUCCUCCAGGGAACAGGCAACCUGUCUACUCACCACUCCCAAGCUUUAUAUUCAUUGUGUUUGUCUAGCUGUUAUCCUCCAUACCAGCUACCACCUUUGGCUCUAGGUUAGAAAAAAAAAAAUUCCAGUUACAUUUGCUUGCAUGAGGACUAAUCAGUUACACCAGGUAGUGGGGGAAGUCAGUGGAAAAAAGACAAAGAGCUGCUGCUUCCAGGCCUCUGAGAAGAGCUGCCACAGUCAGGCUGGGCAGACAGGGCAGAAAGGCCAGGGUUAGGGUUAGGGUCAGGAUUAGGGUUAGGAUCAGGAUUAGGCACCAGAUUCAACUUGGUGCCUUUUUCCUAAGAAGAGAAAACAGACCAAACUUGGUGCUCAAACGCAAACCUUUCCUGGGAGCUUCAUUCAAGGUGAAGCCAUCACACGGUCUUUGUCCUGGAGGCCCAGUCAUCAAGUAGACAGCGCUUGCUAUUAUGGCUUUGCAAAGCUGCCAAGUCCAGGAAGAUUGUGGAAGCUUUCUGACUCUGCUUCCCGUACAUUUCUAAGUUGGUUGCAGGCCAGGGCUUCCACUGCCCAGGUGCAGCCAGCCUAAUGCUAGGGUGUUGACAGGUGCCAGGCAGGUAUGAGAGAGAGCCUUGUUCUGCCACAGAGCACUGAAGUAUCUGUUCUGAACUCCUGUCACCUUGACUGAUGCUUAGAACACUUAGGACUCAGCUCCAGACUGGUCGCACCUUGGGACUUCACUCUCAUUCUCAAUGCCGGCUCCUCCAGGCUCUGUGCACCUGAGGACAGCUGUUGCCUAUGUAGCCUUUGCCUCUCAGCAGCCAGCCUGGGCCCAUGGGGACUGGGAGCUCUGUGACACCAACUUGAUGUGCUACAUAGCUUGGGCCCGGGGGCCUCUGAUUAAAAAAAAAAAAAAUACAGUGUUGCUUCCAUGUGCCCGUACUUGAUCAUCCCCAUUUCAAAUUGGAGUAAAACUGAGGUUCUAAGAGGUUAAGU
ensembl:lncRNA